AGGCACUAUCUUUGAACCUGACUGGCCGUUCUUGUGGCCACACAGGCCAAGCAAUAGUGCAAGAGUAUAUCAAGGUUUGUUAUAACUGGGGUUUCUUGGCAAUACCACCAAGUUUCUCUUUUAAAAGCAAUUCACAGAA